rnacentral:rRNA from 1 species
UACGGAGGGGGCUAGCGUUGUUCGGAAUUACUGGGCGUAAAGCGCACGUAGGCGGCUUUGUAAGUUAGAGGUGAAAGCCCGGGGCUCAACUCCGGAACUGCCUUUAAGACUGCAUCGCUAGAAUUGUGGAGAGGUAAGUGGAAUUCCGAGUGUGGAGGUGAAAUUCGUAGAUAUUCGGAAGAACACCAGUGGCGAAGGCGACUUACUGGACACAUAUUGACGCUGAGGUGCGAAAGCGUGGGGAGCAAACAGG